AGUUCUAGUACAUGCAAGUUUCAAAUGCACAUCAGAUAGCUGUGUAAGGCAGUUUUAUUUUCAAAUAUAUGAAAUGGUGUUAAUGAAAUUCACGUUCAUGUGCAUUUGUUAGAAAACAGAGCAACCAAAAAUGUGUCUAGCUUAAAUCUUGGAAUUUGUGAAAAAUGGCCUGCUGUUUGUUGGUGUCAACUCUGAUCAAAGGGAGUCAAGUUUUGCAUCCAUGCCUUCACAUACAAGAAAGGACAAGUACGCAAUGGUGGUGUCAAACAGCUCAUACGUUUUGAUUCUGAAUUUUCAUGCCUUGACAAGGAAGUACUGUUGGAAAAACAGACUGCCUUUCCAAAGUGUUAACAAUUCAUCAAUCAACAUGUCCUGAUUUGGUAAAUACAACUCAUGAAUGUGAAAUUAUGGAGAAAAAUUUAAAAAGUUUCUUUCACCAAUAAGUAUUUUACAGUCCCAUGUUCCAGCAAUUUGACCAGUGUUGGUCCCUUUAGAGACAAACUGUAAUGUCUCUGAAAUAUCAUCAUACUAGCCUACUACAAAAUGGUGAAAGGAACUAAACUUUUAAUACAAUACUGCAAUACAAAUUAUAUUAGAAUAAUACACCUGUAAAAUGUAUCAAAUAUAGACCAAUUUGAAUCCUCAAAAAUGCAAAUAUAUCUUUAUAUAUUCCACA